UCUUCUUUCUCUCAUUUUUUCCAAUUUUUCUCGAAUGCUUUCAGCUUCCCUUCUCUCGCCUCUCCUCUUCUUCCCCCUCUGUCUCCUGCAAACCCUAACCCAAGCUCUGAACUUCAACGAAAACCCUAGCUAGCAUCUGUAGCUCUUCUCUCCCUCUCCCUCAUUCUCCUCUCUUUUCCUUCCCUCUAUGCGAAACCCUAGUUUAAACCCUCCUUUGUAACUCUAUCAGACUCCCUCUAUCUCUUACCCUUGUUCUUUCAAAUUCUCCUUUCGAAGCCGAAGCUCAAGUUUGUCGCUCUGCAACUCCCCUACCCCUCUCUCCUUCUUCUCAACAACUCUCGGAGGCAUUGUAGCUUUUGACGUUGGAAAGAAACUAUGGCGAACCUGCCCUAAAGGACUUCGAAGGAAAUGGUUGAUAGGGAUUUCAGAGAGGCUCACUCGAAGUCCAAAGAAAAGAUGGGUUCUUCCUCCUCCUCCUCUCUCUCUCUCUCUCUCUCUCUCUCUCUCUCUCCUUCUUCUUUUUUGACUUUUAUUUAUUUAUUUAUUUAUUGCCUGUGAUUUGAUGUGUGUAUAUGGUAUGUGAAUGCUAGUUGUGUGUGUGAUUCUCUAUGUUGUAUUUGGAGAGUUAGGGUUUCAAGUCUGGGAUGGUUGGGGUUGAAGACAAGUGAACUCGUCUUUGGCUCGGUGAGUUGUGGUGAUUCCAACCAGGGUUGACUCGAAUGGGUUAUGUGAGCUCGAAUGAACCCGAGCAGGUUGGACACAUACGGUUAGGCACUCACUACGAGUCAACCCGAAUGGGUUAUGUGAGCUCGAAUGAACCCGAGCAGGUUGGACACAUACGGUUAGGCACUCACUGGUGUUGGGUUAGCUCAAGUGGUCUUAGGGUGAUGGGCUUUGGUUGAUUUUUAAAAUGGGCUUGAGUCAAUUUUUUUAAACAAGCAUGGGGUAAAAUGUUAAGAUGGACUUGAGUCAAUUUUUUUAAAUGAACCUAGGGUAAAAUGUUAAGAUGGGCUUGAGUCAAUUUUUCCAAAAUGGGUUUAGGGUAAAAAGUUAAGAUGGGCUUGAGUCAAUUUUUUAAACGAGCCUAGGAUAAAAUGCUAAGAUGGACUUGAGUCAAUUUUUUAAACGAGCCUAAGAUAAAAUGCUAAAACAGUAUGGCUUUGGGCUGGUCUUAAAAGCAUGAAUUGGGUCGGGUGAUUUUAAAAUGUGUUAGGAUUUAGUUAAAAAUAAAACGAGCUAAGGGUAAAAAGUUACAGAGGUUGAGCUUCAAACCCAAACCUAGGUUCGGGUUAGGGGAUUCGGUUUACAUGGUUAUGUAUGAAAGUUUGAACCUGAACUGGGAUUCAAGUUCGACGGACGGAUCUGGGUAAACCUGAGUUCAGGUUUGGUGGGCUGGUUCGAGAGGCUCGAACCCGAACUUGGAUUCGAGUUUAGGGAAGUGGGCUCGGGUUUGGUCUCUGCAGUUCAAAUUCAAGCAUGAACAUGAAAUUUAACAAGAAUAAUCCCUGCAUUCACAUCCACACACCACUAUUGAAUGAAUUGAAUGAUAACAAGAAUGAUGGUUUCGAACUUUUACCCUCUUCCUUUCUCUCCUCCUGUCUUUCUGUGUCUUUUUUGGACAUCUAGUCUGGUGGCUUGAGUGUGUCUGAAUGCUUUAUGUAGUUUGCUUCUCCACUUCCUGCACUAUUCUGCCCUUUGCAAUUUAGCAGAGCUCCUCCAACAUCUGAGGGAACUCCCGCUUCUCUACUCUCUGCUUCAACAAAGUUUCUCUUUGCUCUUAGUUCUCAUUUCUCAACUCGGCAGAGUAUCUCUAAAGCUUUCUCACUCUCAAUUUGGCAGGGUGCUUUUGUACUCUCCGAAGUGUGCCUUUGCUACAGUGAGACUCCCUAUUUAUAGGGAGUCUGAGGGUACUUUUUGGCGCCAAUUAACAGAAUUCCCCUCCCCCUGGCAGGGAAUAAUUCUUUCUAACAACUCACAUGUGAUUUUUGCAUUUCAUUUCUUGUUAUUUUGGACUCCGGUUAACUGAUUUUGUGCUUCCUAUGUGUAGGUGAACCUGGUGAUCCAGGUGGAAUUCUGGGAAUGGAAGGCAUGGCAUCUUAUUAUUUUUGUGCUUGUUUUUAUUUCUUUGCAUUCUGUAUGUUGAUGUACCCACGGGUUGGCUUGUACUGCAACAGCAGUUUGUACAUGUAACCUUUACUGGUAUUUUUGUAUUUCUAUAUUUUCAUUUUCCUUUUUGUAACUUGCAUGUACCCCCGUGUAGUUUUCCCCUGCAACUAUAACUUGUACAACAUUUUUCUUUUUGUAAGUGUUUCUGUCCCUUGCAUGUUCAAACA